UGUGUGUGUGUGUGUGUGUGUGUGUUGCAAUGAAACUUACUCAUUCAAGUAGAAUACACAAACGACGAGCGCACUACACAACGAUCUUUGAUUUGUGAUAUUUUAGAAAAUAAACGUUGUUCUUUACAACAUUCCGUUUAAGUCAGUGAACGCAACACCGGAAAAGACACGUCGAGGCUCCACACUGUCUCUCCUGGAACCUCAAUCACCGCUGCACUCAGACUUGUCGCGGCUUUCGAAGUCCAUGAGCGGAUUUUAGUUUUAUUUCCUCUUUUUUCUCCCGGGUAAAUAUGCUGAUGACGAGCCAAACGUGUGCCGGGUUCCAUCAUACAGACUAGUAACAUCAAAAGUCAAAGAUCCGGGACACUAAAAAAUGAAAACGCCUGCGGAGAAUUGAAGUUGGAUUUUUAAGUUGCUUAGAGUUGUCCAAAACAACGUUGACUAUGACUAUUAUAGUGGACUUUGGGGAGUGUUUGAAAGAUUCACCUCGCUUCAGAGCUGAAAUCGAGGCUGUUCAACUGAACGUUGGUGAACUAGAGACGCAUUUAGACAAGCUGGUGAAACAAUGUCAGGCCAUGCUGGAGGCCGGCCGAGUCUACUACCAGACCAGCAAGAGCUUUGUGAGCGGUCUACGAGGUCUUGGAGAGCACUGCUCCGGAGACGACAUGAUGCAGGAGUGUUUGCAGACCUUUUCCGAAAAACUGUCCCUCAUUCUGGAGUCCCAGGGGGAGGUGAUUGACAUCACACAGAAGUCGGUCAAGAUGAAGCUGCAGAACUUUGUGAAAGAAGACGUGCGUCGUUUUAAGGAUGCACGCAAGGAGUUUGAGCGCAGCAGCGAAGCCCUGGAGGGGGCACUGGCGAGGAACGCUCAGGCCCCCCGCGGGAAGCCCCAUGAGGUAGAAGAGGCCAACAAGGCUCUGCUGAAUUCUCGCAAGGCUUUCCGCUCAGGCGCCCUGGACUAUGUCCUGGAGAUAAACAUCAUUGAGGCCAAGAAGAAGACUGAACUGCUCAAUGCAAUGUUGUCAAUGAUGGAUGCUCAGGUCCAGCUGUUCCAAAAUGGCCACCAGUCUCUGGCACAACUUGACCGGUAUCAACAAAAACUGAGCGAAGAGCACAAGCAGUUUGUCCUCAACUCUGCACGUGAGAAGCGGGACAUGGAGCAAAGACACUCCGCCAUCAAAAAAAAGGACGUCUCCUACGACGACUCCAUGAUGGACUUCAAUCCUGACGCCGCUGACGGGGUGGUGAUGGAGGGCUACCUCUACAAGAGGGCCAGCAAUGCCUUCAAGACGUGGAGCAGGCGCUGGUUCUCCAUCCAGAAAAACCAGCUGGUAUAUCAGAAGAAAUUCAUGGAGCAGCCCACGGUGGUGGUGGAAGACCUACGUCUCUGCACAGUCAAGCCCGGUGCCGAGAUUGAGCGACGCUUUUGUUUUGAAGUGGUCUCGCCGUCCAAGAGCUGUCUGCUACAGGCCGACUCUGAUAGGCAGCAGCAGGCAUGGAUCAAAGCCGUCCAGAAUAGCAUUGCCUCGGCCUUUCAGGAACGCAGAGAUGACCACCAAAGUCCACGGCAGCACAGCAACUCCACGUCAGUGAGCUACCCAGGCGGAGGAGGCGUGGCCCGACAGGAGAACGAGGGCUUCAAGGCCCUGGAGGAGGUUCAGGACAUUGCAGGGAACAGGGAGUGCUGCGACUGCGGAACACCAGGACCUGACUGGGCCUCCAUCAACCUGGGCAUCACACUCUGCAUCGUGUGCUCAGGAAUACACAGGAGCCUGGGGGUCCAUUUCUCCAAAGUGCGGUCCCUCACGCUGGACUCCUGGGAGCCAGAACUCAUUAAGCUGAUGUGUGAAUUAGGCAACAGCGUCAUCAACAGGAUCUAUGAGGCACGCAUUGAUGAGAUCACCUUGAAGAAACCAAUUCCCUCCAGUCCCAGGGGAGACAAGGAGGCCUGGAUUAAGUCCAAAUACGUGGAGAAGAAAUUCAUCCAGAAUCUAUCGCACACAUACUACGGCGCAAAGAGGAACCGGGCGGCCACACAGGACCGGAACACACCAAAACCGCCGCUCAAACCCAAACCAAGCCGAGCCACUCUUCCUCGUUCCGCAGGACCGAAUGAGGUCCGGAAUAAUAACACUGGCUCCCACAAAGAUUUGAACGACGAGGAGGAAGAUCUAAGCAGCCUUCACCCGGGGGCGCUGCUGUACCGCUCGGCCGCCAUCCAGAACUUCCCCGUUAUGGCGGACGCGUUGGCCCACGGCGCCAACGUUAACUGGGUCAACGCGGCUGAGGAAUCCCGCACGCCGCUCAUAGAAGCCGUCUCAGCGAACGCCCUGGCGGCCUGCGAGUUUCUGCUGCAGAAUGGCGCCGACGUCAACCAGGUGGACAGCAAAGGGAGAGGGCCUCUUCAUCACGCCACUGUAUUGGGACACACAGGGUUGGUGUGUCUCUUCUUGAAGCGAGGUGCAGAUUACAACGCCAGAGACGGCUACCAGAAGGACCCCAUCACCAUCGCAGUGGACACCGCCAAUGCAGACAUUGUCACUUUGCUGCGGAUCGCCAAGAUGAACAGGGAGAUGCAGGAGAUGGACGGGGCGCUUGGAAAAUCAGGUCUUUUAAAGGGGCAGGCGACUGGAAGCAGUGAGGCAGGAAGUAGGCAGGGCCAAAUCAAGAAAAGCUUUUUAAGGAGCCACAAAAGUGGUUGGGCUGUUUGAGACCAAAAUGAUUAGCCAAAUAUAGUAAUAAUAAUAAUUGGGCUAAUUCUGAUUCCAACGGGCUUGUUUUUGCUCGCUCUACUGGUUUUACAGUGCAGCUUUAUUUGUCUACCAUGCAGAAUAACGUUGUCUCAUUUGAGACGGAGAAAAAAAAAACACUUAUUCACUGGGAAGGCGUAAAAGCUACUUUUACACACUAGCGCCUUAAACAAGUCUUCUACAGUCCAUUGUUGUACUUUGGAUUUAAGUCGUCCUUUGUUUACAGCUGUUAAUUGCUUCCUGACAGGGCCACGAUAAAUCCAUUCCUGCAAAGUUGGAAUCAUUAAUCAACUUGUACACAUUCCUUUAAAUAUUUUAACAUUACAAGAGAUGAAAUAACACUAUUUAGUUACCUUUCCACAUCCAAUGUAAUAAUGCAGUACUACACAGAUGUUUGGUUUCAUACAGCAGCCAAUAUUACUUAUUUCAAUUUAUUUAGGCAUUUUUAUGCUGGAGAAUGAUUAAUUUAGGACCAAACCGUUUUAGAAUAUGCUUUAUUAACCUGCAAUCUGGCGAGGGACUACUACACAUUGUGUGCUCCAAGUAAAACUAGAAAGUUGUAGAAGUGCAAUUAUCAAUCAAAUGUGUGGACAGUGUGUGUGUAGUUAUGGAAGCCAUUAUAUUGUAUUCUGUGAACAAGACCAGAGAAACACACACACUUGCAUUGUUUGUUAGUCAGGCUUGUGUUGUGCUUCUUGUACAUGCUUUGCGCACAAAUGUGAAGCAUCUGUUGUUUGUGCUUUCAAAAAACAAUAAUUCCCCUGCUGGUCAGCGUUUGACUUGCUGUGUGUUUGUGUGUCCUCGCACUCCUGAGGCAAGGAGCUGGUCUCCCCUGCUGCAAACUAUGAGGUGACGAGACCUAUCAGCACAUCUUCAGGGAUUUCUCACACAUGGCUUCCAACAACCCGGAGAAGCUGAAACGUAGCAGUGCGGAUGGCAAAUUCUAAAAGCGUAUACAACAUUUGCAGACACGGCCCUUAAAAAUGUACAGUAGUCACAUGAUGCUCAGCUGACUUUGGAGGAAACCAACAACCCAAUAGUCACAUCUUUGUGUGCACAACAAUGGCGUCUCAAAUCAGACCCGCAUGACGUGAAUGCAUUUUGCUUGUUUUAAAAAGUGCUUUUACUUUUUUUGUUGUUCAUAUAGGAAUAAUGAAUUUAAAUGUAUUUUGUCUUAAAAGAAUAUAUUCAAUCCAAAAUAAAGACUUCUGUUUUAAA